rnacentral:lncRNA from 1 species
UCAACACUGCAGGGCUGGCUGAGGAAGGCUUGUGCUAUGCUGAGCUGUGAUUGGUGUUGCUAUAACAAUGAGGGAGGGGGAGAGAGAGGUAGGGGGGCGGAAGGUAGAGGAUGAUUAUAAAACCCUCCAUAUAGCUCUCUCUUUUCCUCUGGGGAUUUUCUCUUCAGGUUUUUUUUUCCUUUUUUCAGGCAGCGAGUGAUUGCAUGCAGGAGGACAGAGGGUUUGAGUCGUGCGUGUCAGAGGGGAAGACUGGAGUUGUUGUCUCUCUCUACCAUUCUCUCUUCGUUUUUCUCUCUGGUCUGCGUCUUCAGCCUGCUCCGUCAGAUAACAUUAAGGCACACAGACACACCUGGAGUCUUUGGACACCGUGAACAGAGGAGAGCGGCUUCUGUUUCUUUAGCAGACAACCUCUUCACUCCUGAGCAGGAGUUUUUCCAGCCUCCUGAGCAUAGUGAAUGACACUCUGCAGUAAUACCCUCUGCAGCACACUGCGGUCAACACAGCCAAGGUCGACAUCGGAUGUUCCAGGCACAUGGUUUACAGUAGGCCUUCUAUUCAGAAAGAGAGAGCAAGAGAGACAGAUACACAACAGACCAGAGGGGGAGAGACAGCGAGGGAGGACAAGAGAGAGACCAAAGAAAGGAGCAUUUGUUUUAUUACGAAGCAUCACUGCCGCUGGCGAGAAAAAUACAAAAGCACCUGGAAAUAACCAACUUUCACAGGACAGCUCAGAGGCGGCAUGUGUCUGCGUGAGCGCGUGUACAUUGGUGCGUAUGUGAUCUGUACUCUGGUACAUGGGGGACAGAUGUUCAAUGUUCCUGUGUGUGCCUUCUGUCUGCCGUCCAUCUGCCGUCCUCUGGGGACAUUCUCUGUUGGAGUGAGUUGUGCAUGUUGCACAUAUGUGUAGAGACAGAUUGUGUGUGUACUUGUUUUCCCACCUUAUCAGGACCCCAGUGUCCUAACAAUUCAAAAGUAAACUUUUAUCAUGUCCUGAAUUUGUUCAAAUGCUAUUUUAAGAUUAACCCUAACCUUAAAAAAAAACGUUAGAGUUAGAUUAAGGAAAAUAUGAUAUUUAAUGGUCAAACAUUUUUACUCUCCAAAAAGUUCUGAGAUUUCAUGAAAAUAAAUGGAAAUGUGUCUUCAGCAUUUAACCCAAUCCCUCUGAAUCAGAGAGGUGCGGGGGGCUGUCUUAAAUCAACAUCCACGUCUUCGUCGCCCGGGGAACAGUGAGUUAACUGCCUUGCUCAGGCAUUAAACAACAGAUUUUUUAACUUGUCAGCUCGGGGAUUCGAUCCAGCAACCUUUUGGUUACUGGCACAACGCUCUAACCACUAGGCUCUGUGUGUGUGUGUGGCUAUCGGCGGUUCCACAGGCAGCACUUGAAUGACCAGUCUUUCAGUGCGUGUGAACUGUUGGUGCGAGAGUUAAUAUGACCAAAGGCCCAGCGUGAUCCUUACUACUGCGCAGCUAGGCACACACACACUGCAGAAGAACAGUCUGUCCAUAGUACAGUAGAAAGACACACACACAUAUUCAUUAUUCUUCCUGAAUUUCAUUUAUAAAAAUAAACACCAGUGCUCCAUCUUUUCUCUUCUUCUCACACCCCCCUCGCAUCACAUGCCAUUCCUGCUACAUGUGCUUUUCAUCUCUUUAUAAACUCCUCUCUCAUUUUGCAGAAUUCCUAGAAUGGACAAAGGCCAUCAAACCAUGUCAAUGGAAACCCAAUAUGGCUGAGGUGGUAUUCAGGAUUGUGAUGCAUACUUGCCAUGGGACAUUGAACAUCUAUUUCAAUUUUC